rnacentral:lncRNA from 1 species
AAACCAGUACAUCCCAGUAUCCCCCAGUGUCCCUGUCCCCAGUGUCCCCAGUCUGUCCCAGUCCCUCCCAGUGCUCCCAGUACCUCCCAGUAUCCCUGUCCCCAGUGCUCCCAGUCUGUCCCAGUCUGUCCCAGUCUGUCCCAGUGUCCCCAGUCCAUCCCAGUCCGUCCCAGUCCCCCCAGUACCUCUCGAUGUCCCUGUCCCAGUCUGUCCCAGUCCGUCCCAGUCCGUCCCAGUCCGUCCCAGUGCUCCCAGUGCUCCCAGUACCUCUUGAUGUCCCUGUCCCAGUCUGUCCCAGUCUGUCCCAGUCCCCCCCAGUCCUUCCCAGUCCCCCCAGUACCUCUCGAUGUCCCUGUCCCCAGUCUGUCCCAGUCCGUCCCAGUCCCUCCCAGUCCGUCCUAGUGCUCCCAGUGCUCCCAGUACCUCUCGAUGUCCCUGUCCCAGUCUGUCCCAGUCCGUCCCAGUCCGUCCCAGUCCGUCCCAGUGCUCCCAGUGCUCCCAGUACCUCUCGAUGUCCCUGUCCCCAGUCUGUCCCAGUCCGUCCCAGUCCCUCCCAGUCCCUCCCAGUGCUCCCAGUACCUCUCGAUGUCCCUGUCCCCAGUCCCUCCCAGUCUGUCCCAGUCCGUCCCAGUCCCCUCCAGUGCCUCCCAGUCCCUCCCAGUGCUCCCAGUACCUCUCGAUGUCCCUGUCACCAGUGUCCCCAGUCUGUCCCAGUCCGUCCCAGUGCUCCCAGUCCGUCCCUGUCCCCAGUCUGUCCCAGUCCCCCCCAGUCCCUCCCAGUCCCUCCCAGUCUGUCCCAGUCCCCCCAGUACCUCUCGAUGUCCCUGUCACCAGUGUCCCCAGUCCGUCCCAGUCUGUCCCAGUCCGUCCCAGUCCUCCCAGUCCCUCCCAGUGCUCCCAGUCCCUCCCAGUGCUCCCAGUACCUCCCAGUGUCCCUGUCCCCAGUCUGUCCCAGUGUCACCAGUCCCUCCCAGUCCCUCCCAGUCCGUCCCAGUCCCCCCAGUACCUCUCAAUGUCCCUGUCACCAGUGUCCCCAGUCUGUCCCAGUGUCCCCAGUCUGUCCCAGUCCCUCCCAGUGCUCCCAGUACCUCUCGAUGUCCCUGUCCCAGUCUGUCCCAGUCUGUCCCAGUCCCUCCCAGUGCUCCCAGUACCUCUCCAUGUCCCUGUCACCAGUGUCCCCAGUCUGUCCCAGUCUGUCCCAGUCUGUCCCAGUCUGUCCCAGUGCUCCCAGUCCCUCCCAGUGCUCCCAGUACCUCCCAGUAUCCCUGUCACCAGUGUCCCCAGUCCCUUCCAGUCCCUCCCAGUCCCUCCCAGUCCCUCCCAGUGCUCCCAGUACCUCUCCAUGUCCCUGUCCCCAGUGUCACCAGUGCUCCCAGUCCCCCCCAGUCCGUCCCCCCCCCUCCCAGUCCCUCCCAGUCCCUCCCAGUGCUCCCAGUGCCCCCAGUCCCCCCGCCCCCCCGGU